GGAUACCAUGGUAACAAUGUUAUCUGAUUUUUGGAAAUUUUACUGGAGAACUUUAUGAGGAAAACAAAAAAGAAAGGAUUUUUAAGAAAAAAAUGAAAAAGAAACCAGAAGAAUGGUUUCUUUUUAAAUGUAUUCUUUUAUACAUUAUGCGAAAAUUGUGAGAGUUGAGGACUUCCCCAAUUCCCGGCUUGAAACUCCUCCACUGCAGCAGCAUUCAACAACAGGGGAAACGGGAAGAAUCAACAGAAAGAUUUCAGCUCAUACAUACCAGCCAAUGCCAAUCAGAUAUUCAGACUAUUCAGGUUAUAUUGGCUUUUACGGCAAUUUGCGGUAAUAAGUCUAGGGGAUACAAUUAAGUUUUCUCUAUCGCCAAUGAAAAGCAAAGAUCGUUUGUCUACCAAUGUGCCAGGUGUCCCACUUGAUGACAAGAAUGUGAUUAUCAAGGCACUUAACCUUUACAGAAAAAAGACCGGCAGUGACAACUUCUUCUAGGUAAAUGCGUAAUUAAUUGAAUCAUAUGCGGAAAUAGGUAAUGCUUGGCUCAAUACUGUACACAUGAGGUCACAUUUGGCAAUCCAAAUUGUUCACAUGUGGGGCAACAUGGAGGGGUGAUCCUUCAAAAAUCUGACCAUCCAUCAUAUGGGUGGGGAGAU